rnacentral:tRNA from 1 species
AUUUAUAUAGUUUAUAUAAGAACCUGCCAUUUUCACUGGUAAAGAGAAGGCACCUUCUAUAAAUA